GUGAGGAAUUUUCCGCAAUGGGCGAAAGCCUGACGGAGCAAUGCCGCGUGAAGGAUGAAGGCCUAUGGGUUGUAAACUUCUUUUCUCAGAAAAGAAUUAUGACGGUAUCUGAGGAAUAAGCAUCGGCUAACUCUGUGCCAGCAGCCGCGGUAAGACAGAGGAUGCAAGCGUUAUCCGGAAUGAUUGGGCGUAAAGCGUCUGUAGGUUGUUUAAAAAGUAUUCUGUCAAAGAUUAGGGCUUAACCCUAGAUAGGCAGAAUAAACUUUUAAGCUAUAGGUUGGUAGAGGCAGAGGGAAUUCCCGGUGGAGCGGUGAAAUGCGUAGAUAUCGAGAGGAACACCAAAGGCGAAGGCACUCUGCUGGGCCAAUACUAACACUGAGAGACGAAAGCGAGGGGAGCAAAUGGGAUUAGAUACCCCAGUAGUCC
rnacentral:rRNA from 1 species